AUCUCGUUGGGUACGGGGUUGUUCGGCGACGGGGGACCUGGGUAGCUAUUGGCCGCCGGAGCUAGGCGAGUAAAGAGAGGGCGGCGGCGGCGCAACUUCUCAUCUCCGGCAUAGGCCAUUCUGGGCAUGCGCCACCCUGAUUUUUGUAGCUGCAUCCAUUGCCACAUUUGUCACGGGCCAAGCAGUACAGGCAAGAUAUGUUCGAACCAUACGACGUUUUGUGGAACGGUAUUGUUGGCACUUUGGGCUACCUCGAUGUUGGCUAGAAGGGCUUGGAUGAAGAUAGGUUGUCGCCGUGAACGAAUACGCAUGUGAACAAAAUGUUUGCUUUGUGACAUUUGCUCUUGUAUUAUUCAUGUUUUCUGGUGAUUUGGAAGUGCUGGUAUGCAUGUAUAAGAUGCCUAGCUUGUAACACAACCAAGUACUAAAGCAAAGAAAAUCAGGCUUCUUCUAUGAGUAGAACCAUCAGGUUUCAUUGAUGAGUAGAUCCAUCAAGGCUUCUUGCAUGACAAAAAUUCCUUUGCCAGACAGGAUUCGGACAAGAGCAAGCAUAACACAGCUAGCUACUACUCUGACUAGAUUGCAUACUCAUCAAGACUCACUGUCCCAGAUUUUGCACCUUACAAGGUA